CAGAGUGAAGGUAUGUGAAUGGUUAUUGAGGAAUGUAAGUCGAAACUGAAAUGCAUAAGAUAAUUAAUAUGUUUAUAUGAUUUUGUGUAAUAAAACAACCUCAGAAGUAAUCUGGAAGGAAACUGAACACAACGUGUCCUCAUUACUUCUGUUUCACCUGCACCAUACAGAAAAUACAGAAGAAGCAAAAAGAAAAGAUCUCUUGGCCAUAUUGCAGGAGAGGAAAAAAGAAAACAAUUGUCUCCACUCUGCCCAACACAAACAAAACAAUGCAGAGAAUAUACUCCCUCCGAUGACUCCGAUGAUGAUGGAGCGGUUGUGCCUCAACAACUCUUUGAGGAGGCAAAGCUGAAACAACGCCUCUAUCACAAGAAAUUGAACGAAAUGAGUGCAACUGAAUGAAAACCAAAAAAAGCUGGAGGAGCAGGAGAAAGUGACACACUGCGUGUUUUAAAUAUCAAGUUGCAGCAACAUCUUUUCAAACAGCUGAACCCCACAGCAGAUGAAAGUAGUGAUCCCGGUGCCCAAAGAAGACCAUCAUUGGUUAGUGUUACCUCCAAAGUGCCUUCUGAUGUUAAGACAUGUUUAUUGCAAUGUUCAACAGUGCAAAUGAAAGGACAAAGCUGGCAUUAGUUAAGUUAAAUAUUUGUGUCUGACUUAUUCUUCUUGCUCUGAUAAGACUUGUUAUUAAUGAUGUGAUCACUUAAGAGCUGCUCUGAAAUGUAAACUCAACUGUUAAAGCAAGUGGGUGGAUUUCAACGAGGUGCAACUGUUACCUGUCUUCACCUUAUGCUCUAUAACAUUACAGAGGCAAUGAGUUGGCACCAUGUCA